AGAUUGAACGCUGGCGGCAGGCCUAACACAUGCAAGUCGAGCGGCAGCGGGAAGUAGUUUACUACUUUGCCGGCGAGCGGCGGACGGGUGAGUAAUGUCUGGGAAACUGCCUGAUGGAGGGGGAUAACUACUGGAAACGGUAGCUAAUACCGCAUAACGUCUUCGGACCAAAGUGGGGGACCUUCGGGCCUCACGCCAUCGGAUGUGCCCAGAUGGGAUUAGCUAGUAGGUGGGGUAAUGGCUCACCUAGGCGACGAUCCCUAGCUGGUCUGAGAGGAUGACCAGCCACACUGGAACUGAGACACGGUCCAGACUCCUACGGGAGGCAGCAGUGGGGAAUAUUGCACAAUGGGCGCAAGCCUGAUGCAGCCAUGCCGCGUGUGUGAAGAAGGCCUUCGGGUUGUAAAGCACUUUCAGCGAGGAGGAAGGCAUAAAGGUUAAUAACCUUUGUGAUUGACGUUACUCGCAGAAGAAGCACCGGCUAACUCCGUGCCAGCAGCCGCGGUAAUACGGAGGGUGCAAGCGUUAAUCG
rnacentral:rRNA from 4 species